AGGGAAGAGACUUGGAUUUUUUGCAUUUGCUUCCCUUUUUCUCUGCUUCCAGAGUUCUCACCAUGCUGAGUGCUUGCAUUGCAACCCUCUGGGGAGCUGUGCAUCAGUGUGCAACAUGUGGGAAGAGGCAUGUAGGAAAGGAACCUUUAAAAGAUGUAAACAUUGUGUGUCUGUUGUGUUUUCAGUCAUCCUUCUAUUCAACUUCUUAAUAUACAGCUUCUCUCUGAGAUUUUUGAUGGAUUUGAAAAAAAAAAGGAAAAAGUGUUUCUAG